rfam:Camelus ferus unplaced genomic scaffold scaffold725, whole genome shotgun sequence.
GUGGGUGUAGCUCAGUGGCAGAGCAUGUGUUUUGCAUGCAUGAGGUCCUAGGUUCAAUCCCCAGCACCUCCA